GACGAACGCUGGCGGCGUGCUUAACACAUGCAAGUCGAACGGUAAGGCCCUUCGGGGUACACGAGUGGCGAACGGGUGAGUAACACGUGGGUGAUCUGCCCUGCACUUCGGGAUAAGCCUGGGAAACUGGGUCUAAUACCGGAUAGGACCACUGCCUGCAUGGGUGGUGGUGGAAAGCUUUUGCGGUGUGGGAUGGGCCCGCGGUCUAUCAGCUUGUUGGUGGGGUGAUGGCCUACCAAGGCGACGACGGGUAGCCGGCCUGAGAGGGUGACCGGCCACACUGGGACUGAGAUACGGCCCAGACUCUUACGGGAGGCAGCAGUGGGGAAUAUUGCACAAUGGGCGCAAGCCUGAUGCAGCGACGCCGCGUGAGGGAUGACGGCCUUCGGGUUGUAAACCUCUUUCAGCACCGACGAAGCGCAAGUGACGGUAGGUGCAGAAGAAGGACCGGCCAACUACGUGCCAGCAGCCGCAGUAA
rnacentral:rRNA from 1 species